rnacentral:lncRNA from 1 species
UACAGGUAAAAAAAUAUACACCAAUUUUCUCCUAUUCUGAGUUAACAUCUACGGCUUCCAAAUUACUAUAGAUAACACAUGAUUCACUGUAUGGGUUAUAAAGCAGUCAUUUAGAGCAUGUAUUAUUUUUUGUGUUCUUCUUAAAACUAAAACUAAAGUGUGUCUGAGCUGUGAAUUAUAAGUACUCAAGUUUAUAAUUGAUUUAUGGAAUUAAUUUGCAAUCUUUUUUUGUCAAAUCUGUAACUUUGGUCAGUCAUAUGCCUAUCUGAAACUCUGAAUGCUGAAACUCUGAAUGCCGGUAAGUUUUUAUUCAAUCUAAAUUUGUUACUUUGGCAUUCUGCAUUUGUUCACUGUAUGAGUUAUGAAUCAAUU